rnacentral:tRNA from 1 species
AGGGUUGUAGUUAAUAUAUAACAUUUAAUUUGCAAUUAAAAAUAGCUUUUAAGCCUUCCUUA